rnacentral:lncRNA from 1 species
CCUGGGUGUCCAGAUAGGUAAUUCAGAACAAAUGUGGUUUUUUGAGUGACUAGAAACAACUGGAAUGAAAAUCCAUUUUCACAUCAAUUGCUAAACACUGACCAAAGGAACAAAUAUGAUGCUGAACCAUGUUCUAAUCCAGGGGGGGCAUAUAGAAGUCUGUCUGUCUCCAACUAAAACAUCUUCUGUAAAAUUAUCCUGUUUGAGGACAAUUUCUGUCUCAAGUUGA